AAUCAACGCUGGCGGCGUGCCUAACACAUGCAAGUCGAACGAGAAAGUGGAGCAAUCCAUGAGUAAAGUGGCGCACGGGUGAGUAACACGUGACUAACCUACCCUUGAGUGGGGGAUAACUGAGGGAAACCUUAGCUAAUACCGCAUAAUACCUACGGGUCAAAGGAGCAAUUCGCUUAAGGAGGGGGUCGCGGCCGAUUAGUUAGUUGGCGGGGUAAUGGCCCACCAAGACGAUGAUCGGUAUCCGGCCUGAGAGGGCGCACGGACACACUGGAACUGAAACACGGUCCAGACUCCUACGGGAGGCAGCAGUGGGGAAUUUUGCGCAAUGGGGGAAACCCUGACGCAGCAACGCCGCGUGGAGGAUGAAGUCCUUCGGGACGUAAACUCCUUUCGAUCGGGACGAUUAU
rnacentral:rRNA from 1 species